rnacentral:rRNA from 1 species
CCUACGGGUGGCAGCAGUGAGGAAUAUUUGUCAAUGGCCGUAAGGCUGAACCAGCCAAGUCGCGUGAAGGAAGAAGGAUCUAUGGUUUGUAAACUUCUUUUAUAGGGGAAUAAAGGUAUCCACGUGUGGAUAUUUGCAUGUACCCUAUGAAUAAGCAUCGGCUAACUCCGUUCCAGCAGCCGCGGUAAUACGGAGGAUGCGAGCGUUAUCCGGAUUUAUUGGGUUUAAAGGGUGCGUAGGUUGUUUUUUAAGUCAGCGGUGAAAGUUUGUGGCUCAACCAUAAAAUUGCCGUUGAAACUGGAAGACUAGAGUAAGUGAGAGGUAAGCGGAAUGCGUGGUGUAGCGGUGAAAUGCAUAGAUAUCAAGCAGAACUCUGGUUGCGAAGGCGGGUUACUAGGCCAUAACUGACGCUGAGGCACGAAAGCGAGGGGAUCGAAAAGGAUUAGAUACCCCGGUAGUC